rnacentral:rRNA from 1 species
AAACCAGCACCUCAAGUGGUCAGGAUGAUUAUUGGGCCUAAAGCAUCCGUAGCCUGCUCUGUAAGUUUUCGGUUAAAUCUGUAUGCUCAACAUACAGGCUGCCGGGAAUACUGCAGAGCUAGGGAGUGGGAGAGGUAGACGGUACUCGGGAGGAAGUGGUAAAAUGCUUUGAUCUCUCGAUGACCACCUGUGGCGAAGGCGGUCUACCAGAACAUGUCCGACGGUGAGGGAUGAAAGCUGGGGGAGCAAACCGGAUUAGAAACCCCAGUAGUCC